CCAGGUUUUCAAGAUGGAAGCUGGAAUCCUGCAUGAUUGCUUUGAGGUUGUCAACUUGACUAUUUCUGGAAUGAACUACAAUCCAGACUUGGAAGGUCCACCUGUCGUCCAGAACUUGAGGCUGGGAGUUUCUGACCUGGAUCUUGGCAUGGAGAACUUAAGGCAUAGUGGCUAUGAAUCCCAGGAGACUGAGGCAAGGAGAGCUCUGAGUUAAGGUCAACCUGGGACAAAACAGGUCCCAGAUCCAGCAUGGUGGUACACAUCUUUAAUCUGGGCCACACCUCCUGUUGGAGGGCUACAUAAGGGCACUAGAAGAAGAUUUGCAUUUCUUUACCUGCUUGAGCUUACUUGCCAGCACAUCUGUUGGAAUCUACCAGCCUCGUGGGACUGAGCAACUCUUAGAUCCUUGGACUUCCAUUCACAGGUGACUGUUGUUGGGAGUUGAACUACAGACUGUAAGUCAUCAUAACAAAUCCCCUGACUGUACAGUAUAUCGUAGACUACCCAUAAGUCCUGUGACUCUAGAGAACCCUGACUAAUACAGCCUGCCUACACCAUGCUCGGAGUAAACUUUCUGCAGAC
rnacentral:lncRNA from 1 species